rnacentral:rRNA from 1 species
UACGUAGGGUGCGAGCGUUGUCCGGAAUUAUUGGGCGUAAAGGGCUCGUAGGCGGUUUGUCGCGUCGGGUGUGAAAACACCGGGCUUAACUCGGUGCUUGCUUUCGAUACGGGCAGACUAGAGGCAUGCAGGGGAGAACGGAAUUCCUGGUGUAGCGGUGAAAUGCGCAGAUAUCAGGAGGAACACCGGUGGCGAAGGCGGUUCUCUGGGCAUGUCCUGACGCUGAGGAGCGAAAGUGUGGGGAGCGAACAGG